ACGCACGCUGGCGGCGUGCUUCACCCAUGCCAGUCGCACGGAAAGGCCCUGCUUUUGUGGGGUGCUCGAGUGGCGAACGGGUGAGUAACACGUGAGUAACCUGCCCUUGACUUUGGGAUAACUUCAGGAAACUGGGGCUAAUACCGGAUAGGAGCUCCUGCUGCAUGGUGGGGGUUGGAAAGUUUCGGCGGUUGGGGAUGGACUCGCGGCUUAUCAGCUUGUUGGUGGGGUAGUGGCUUACCAAGGCUUUGACGGGUAGCCGGCCUGAGAGGGUGACCGGCCACAUUGGGACUGAGAUACGGCCCAGACUCCUACGGGAGGCAGCAGUGGGGAAUAUUGCACAAUGGGCGGAAGCCUGAUGCAGCAACGCCGCGUGCGGGAUGACGGCCUUCGGGUUGUAAACCGCUUUCGCCUGUGACGAAGCGUGAGUGACGGUAAUGGGUAAAGAAGCACCGGCUAACUACGUG
rnacentral:rRNA from 1 species